UGGAAACAGUGGCUAAGACUGGAUAGGAAGAUAAAAGGCAUCUUUUAUCUUUUAAAAGACCUAGUAAUAGGUAUGCUUUAGGAGGGGCUUGCGCCAUAUUAGUUAGUUGGUAGGGUAAUGGCCUACCAAGACGAUGAUGUGUAGCUGGACUGAGAGGUUGAACAGCCACAUUGGGACUGAGACACGGCCCAAACUCCUACGGGAGGCAGCAGUAGGGAAUUUUCGGCAAUGGAGGAAACUCUGACCGAGCAACGCCGCGUGAAUGACGAAGUACUUCGGUAUGUAAAGUUCUUUUAUCAAGGAAGAAAAGCAAAUGGCGAACCAUUUGUUUGCCGGUACUUGAUGAAUAAGCCCCGGCUAAUUAUGUGCCAGCAGCCGCGGUAAGACAUAAGGGGCAAGUGUUAUCCGGAAUUAUUGGGCGUAAAGGGUGCGUAGGCGGUCUAGUAAGUCAGUGGUGUAAUGGCAACGCUUAACGUUGUCCGGCUAUUGAAACUGCUAAACUUGAGUUAGAUAGAGGCGAGUGGAAUUCCAUGUGUAGCGGUAAAAUGCGUAAAUAUAUGGAGGAACACCAGAGGCGUAGGCGGCUCGCUGGGUCUUAACUGACGCUGAGGCACGAAAGCGUGGGGAGCAAACAGGAUUAGAUACCCUGGUAGUCCACGCCGUAAACGAUGAGUACUAAGUGUCGGGUUAAACCGGUACUGAAGUUAACACAUUAAGUACUCCGCCUGAGUAGUACGUACGCAAGUAUGAAACUUAAAGGAAUUGACGGGACUCCGCACAAGCGGUGGAUCAUGUUGUUUAAUUCGAAGAUACCCGAAAAACCUUACCAGGUCUUGACAUGUUUUUGCAAAAUGAUAGUAAUAUCGUGGAGGUUACCAGAAACACAGGUGGUGCAUGGUUGUCGUCAGCUCGUGUCGUGAGAUGUUAGGUUAAGUCCUAAAACGAGCGAAACCCUUAUCGUUAGUUGCCAGCACGUUAUGGUGGGGACUUUAACGAGACUGCCAAUGAUAAAUUGGAGGAAGGUGAGGAUCACGUCAAAUCAGCAUGCCCCUUAUGACCUGGGCUACAAACGUGAUACAAUGGCUGUUACAAAGGGUAGCUGAAACGCAAGUUCUUGGCCAAUCCCCAAAAACAGUCCCAGUCCGGAUUGAAGUCUGCAACUCGACUUCAUGAAGUUGGAAUCGCUAGUAAUCGCGAAUCAGCAUGUCGCGGUGAAUACGUUCUCGGGGUUUGUACACACCGCCCGUCAACCACGAA
rnacentral:rRNA from 1 species